UGAGCAAUUCUUUAGUGCCUAUCUCCAUUCCUGUUUGUAUAACUUGAGGCCUCAUCCCCAUCUUCCAUGCCAAACAUUAUGAUACCCUUACUGGAAUUCAUGAUUUUUCAAUGAAAUUAUGAAGUUAAAAAACACAAAGUUCAACGAAGACACGGCCCCGUAGGGCUCUCAUCAAACGAAGAAGCACAGUUUUAUCUAGCGAAUAGGUUCCUCCUCGAAACUGUGAAUUAAAUGUCACGUAUUGGUAUCUCUUUCAGAAACAUAGCAAAAAAAUUGUGAAACUUACAGAGAGAAACAAUAUUAUGUCGAUCACGAUGAAUGCAGUUUUGCGGCUUGAGGAGUUUUGCGGCUGAUUAUAUCGAUCAUAUUUACUUGACGGCUACUUUAUUUUUUAUCGACCCCAAAAGUGAUGAGGAGCGACGAAGACAUUUGUGAGAUUUGAAUACAGAGUGUAAAGGGACGUGAUUAUACGCUACAACACAUUUAAUUCGAUGAUCUACUCAUUCUACCGACCUACCACCUUCAGCAAUAGUAAUUAUCAUAAAUAUUAUUGUUAUUAAUGUAGAAUUUCUACUCUCACCUGCACCACUAAUGUAUUCUUUCUACGGAAUUGUUCAAAUUGUAGCAGACAACGCGAAUACGAGAUAUACUUUUAAAAUCUAUUCAUUGAAGGUCAAUAAAAAUUCUUUAAAAUCCACCCCUUCUCUUUAAAUACUACAGUGUCAUUUUCCCUUGAAUCUGAAGAUUACCUUGUAACGGUAAAAAUGUACAGACAUACCAAGCAUAUAACAGCCUUAGAAUGAGGUCUGUUAUAUACCUAACGAAUUACAGAGUAGGACUGAAUGCUUCGUCAUAUCAAAAUUAUUAUCCUUCAAAUAUCUUCAUGAUUGAUUUUGCUUUUCAUUACUUCGGGGUCGUACAGGGAAAAUUGUAGGACGAUCUAAGCAAUAAAGAACUGUAGGACGACCUAAGUAUUGGAAAAUCAAUCGAAGAGUCAAUGGUAUGCCCUUAACAAAGACCGAGGGGUUAGAAUUUACCGAAGGUGGUAUAAUUUAUCGAUGUUAGCGUUAGAAUUAACUUCUUGACAUAUUAUCCCGUAUAUUUUCGUUCAGAGAUGUCUAGUAAAUAUACAUUUGAACGAAAAUAUACGUUCACUGUACUCUGAGGUAUAUGUCACUUAUUUCUAAC